UACGUAGGUGGCGAGCGUUAUCCGGAAUGAUUGGGCGUAAAGGGUGCGCAGGCGGCGCAUUAAGUUUGAAGUAAAAGGUAGCGGCUCAACCGCUGCAAGCUUCGAAAACUGGUGUGCUGGAGUGCAGGAGAGGGCAGUGGAAUUCCAUGUGUAGCGGUAAAAUGCGUAGAUAUAUGGAGGAACACCGGUGGCGAAGGCGGCUGCCUGGCCUGUAACUGACACUGAGGCUCGAAAGCGUGGGGAGCAAACAGG
rnacentral:rRNA from 1 species